GACAUAUAUAGAAAAGAUUCCAGGUAGCACUCCCAGGACUUGUCAAAAAGUAAAACUUUUAUUUAGCUUCAAACAAAACAAUGAAUGUUUCAGUUUGUUAUACACAAACUUUCAUCAGAGUCCUGAUGACAGUUUGUGUAUAACAAACUAAAACAUUGAUUGUUUAAUGUAAAGCUAAUUAAAAGCUAAGUUUUACUUUUUUGACAAUCCCUGGGAGUGCUAUCUAGAAUCUUUUCUAUGGAUUUGGC